rnacentral:rRNA from 1 species
UGGGGAAUAUUGGACAAUGGGCGCAAGCCUGAUCCAGCCAUGCCGCGUGAGUGAUUAAGGCCCUAGGGUUGUAAAGCUCUUUCACCGGUGAAGAUAAUGACGGUAACCGGAGAAGAAGCCCCGGCUAACUUCGUGCCAGCAGCCGCGGUAAUACGAAUGGGGCUAGCGUUGUUCGGAUUUACUGGGCGUCAAGCGCACGUAGGCGGACUUUUAAGUCAGGGGUGAAAUCCCGGGGCUCAACCCCGGAACUGCCUUUGAUACUGGAAGUCUUGAGUAUGGUAGAGGUGAGUGGAAUUCCGAGUGUAGAGGUGAAAUUCGUAGAUAUUCGGAGGAACACCAGUGGCGAAGGCGGCUCACUGGACCAUUACUGACGCUGAGGUGCGAAAGCGUGGGGAGCAAACAGG